rnacentral:pre_miRNA from 1 species
UCUUAUGGAUGAGCAAAUAAAGUGGUUUCUUGAUAUGACAUCUACUCCUGGUGAAGAUAUUGUGAA